rnacentral:tRNA from 1 species
AAGGUCAUGGCCGGGGCGGGCGGUGCGCUGCUCAAUCCGGAGCUGGGGCUGCCGCUGCUGUUCUGCGUCGGCGUGGCCAUC